GACGUCAUGACGUGGUGGGUGGGUCUUAUCUCUGCCUCAGGAAAGCUGAGUCAGCCAUCUUGAAUUUGCCUUCAUGCGGAGAAGUUUUCAUGGAAGUUUUUACAGUUUAAUUUGUUUUUAUUCGUUUGCAAUGCAUUUUUUAUCCCCUCACUUCAAACCAAGACCUCAGUUUUUUCAUCUUUGACCUGCCGUCAUUUCAGCGCCGUCUUAUCAGCGCCGUCUUAUCAGCCCUGAUUUGGCUCGAGUGUUUGGUUGUGAGAUGAUCAUCUAGGAAUCUUUUUUAAAAGUUCAGAUAUUGAACUUGAGUGCUACAGAGAGUCAGCGUUUCACCAUCAGACAGUUGCCAAUAGAGUUUCACCGAAUCAACAACAUUAACCUGCAAAUC